AAGACCUUGCGCUUUUGGAGCGGCCGAUGUCUGAUUAGCUUGUUGGUAAGGUAAAAGCUUACCAAGGCUUCGAUCAGUAGCUGGUCUGAGAGGACGACCAGCCACACUGGGACUGAGACACGGCCCAGACUCCUACGGGAGGCAGCAGUGGGGAAUUUUGGACAAUGGGGGCAACCCUGAUCCAGCCAUGCCGCGUGAGUGAAGAAGGCCUUCGGGUUGUAAAGCUCUUUCAGCCGGAACGAAACGGUUACGGUUAAUACCCGUGACUACUGACGGUACCGGAAGAAGAAGCACCGGCUAACUACGUGCCAGCAGCCGCGGUAAUACGUAGGGUGCGAGCGUUAAUCGGAAUUACUGGGCGUAAAGCGUGCGCAGGUGGUUUUGUAAGUCAGAUGUGAAAUCCCCGGGCUUAACCUGGGAACU
rnacentral:rRNA from 1 species